ACUGUUCUAAACUGACAUUACUGCAAUCGAGCAUGCGAACGAUGUGAACGCAACCAGGCGAAAGCUAUAAAUUACUCGCUGAAUUCCACCAAUAUUGCACCCAUUCGUGACAGAAUUAAACCUCAGACCCAGAAACCAUUUCAAGAUAAGCAAAGGGUGAGAGACAUUCCUAUUACGUUCAAAUUACAAGCAAAAUACGGCAUAGAGAGAUUAGGAAAAUAGUCUGAUUCUGGGUCAAGGACCUAUAUACGGAUUCUGUGGACUCAGGUAUACUUAACUUAUUGGAUGGUCACCUUUUAAAUCGAAAUUUACAAACAUGACUUUCGUUUUAUAUUUUUUGUUUUUUCGUAGAAUUCAGAGAAUAGACAUAUCUGGUCACUUAAUCAACUUUCCCCCGACGAGUUCCGUAUCUAGAUUUGGCCAUUUUGCGAGAAUUAACAACAAAUGUGCGGCAAAGGAGCUGCUAUAAUUUCGUACAAAGUACACACAACAGGUGAAACUGAUGAGAGACCCAAGAUUAAUACACAAAUCCAAAUUCAAGACAAUUAUCCUAAGCCACGGGAAUCAUUGACAAGACCAUUCAUGACAACACUUUAUGAGUCAAAGUAUCAUUAUAUUGGCAUGGGUGGAAAUAUAUGCGUGAACUCGGCACGGAGUUAACAAAGUCUUACCUGCAAUUUUGUGCACUGCUCGGUCGGCCACAUUUGGUGCCGGGCUUCUUGUACCGGACCGUGAUCUUGGUCGACCAAGGGGAGUGUUUGGUCUCGACAUCGCUAUCUACAGCCUCCAAACUCCAUCUCUCUUCACUAAGACAACUAUGAGACCGAGAUCUUUAACGCUACACGCUCGUAUUCGGUGCGCUGCUUCUGUCGGCAAAAGAGGAGUGUGAGUUGUCAAGCAGAAAACAUCCCGUAUUUUGCGAGCCGUUUUGCUAGAUACCUUACUAUAUUUCCGUCAAUUGAGUCUCAGGAACCGUGCAUGAUCUGUGAGAGAGAUUAGCCUGGUUACUUGCAAGCGAAUGGCUUUAGAAAGCUACGUGGAUGGAGAUCAAGUCAACCGGCCAUUGCAUUAUUAUGGGAGAUAUGAAUAUUUACAUGUUCGGCGAAUAUCUCAUCGUGAUUGGUGGAGGACUCAAUGGAAGUACACCUUUCGCAUCGCGUGACAAGAGCAUAAUAAUUCAUACAAGGGACUAUAAUCGUUUACUUCUAGAGUAUCUAAGGAAGUUUUGCGGUUUGAAAUGGUGUACUUAAGAAAAGUGGCAUUAAACCAAGGUUAGAAUUAAUCUUGGACCCGCUAAAUCGUUCUCUUCUAAGAUUUUAUUGGUCUUCCAGAAAAACUCGUUAAUGACACGUGUGACGAAUUUUGUUUGUUUUUGCCUUUUUUGCGGCGCCAGUGAAGAAAGACAUUCAUUUUUACUAUGUCUACAAUGAAGUUUGCCAAACAUUUAUAAAUACCAGAGCGCCCAAACCCACUUGAUUCAUCCUGCAGAGAUUAAUGUAUAAACAUUUUUUAUUCCACGCUGAAGUAGGUUAUAUCACGUAAAGUGUAGAAAAUAUUAUUUUUAAUAAAGUAAUUCGUUUUAUAUUUUGCUUCAGGCCGAUACUUGGAUAUCGAUGUACUUAUCCUUAGGCUACAUCAAUAAAAUAACAAUAGUAAUGUA